rnacentral:rRNA from 1 species
CAUGCAAGUCGAGCGGCAGCACAGGAGAGCUUGCUCUCUGGGUGGCGAGUGGCGGACGGGUGAGGAAUACAUCGGAAUCUACUCUGUCGUGGGGGAUAACGUAGGGAAACUUACGCUAAUACCGCAUACGACCUACGGGUGAAAGCAGGGGACCUUCGGGCCUUGCGCGAUUGAAUGAGCCGAUGUCGGAUUAUCUAGUUGGCGGGGUAAAGGCCCACCAAGGCGACGAUCCGUAGCUGGUCUGAGAGGAUGAUCAGCCACACUGGAACUGAGACACGGUCCAGACUCCUACGGGAGGCAGCAGUGGGGAAUAUUGGACAAUGGGCGCAAGCCUGAUCCAGCCAUACCGCGUGGGUGAAGAAGGCCUUCGGGUUGUAAAGCCCUUUUGUUGGGAAAGAAAUCCAGCUGGCUAAUACCCGGUUGGGAUGACGGUACCCAAAGAAUAAGCACCGGCUAACUUCGUGCCAGCAGCCGCGGUAAUACGAAGGGUGCAAGCGUUACUCGGAAUU